GACUGGUCAUCAGCAGCAGGACUUCUGGCCUGAGGAGAGGCCACAGCAGGCCUGGCGGGAGCAAGCAGGGCGGCACAGCAGGGACACACAGGAGGAGGCUGGGCGGCAGCAGCUGGGCUGGCAGGAGGAGGCACAGCAGGAGGAGGUGGGCACACAGCAGGCGGGUCUGCACACAGGGCGGCAGAGCAGGGACAUGCUGGAGCAGGGCUUGCAGCAGACAGGCUUGCAGCAGACAGGUGCACAGCAGGAUGGCUGGCAGCAUGAGGAGGAUCCAGAGCAGAUGGGUGUGCAGCAGACAGGUGUGCAGCAGACAGGCUUGCAGCAGACAGGUGUGCAGCAGACAGGCGCACAGCAGGAUGGCUGGCAGCAAGAGGACUGGCAGCUAGGCUGCUGGCAGCAUGAGGAGGAUCCACAGCAGACAGGUGUGCAGCAGACAGGCUUGCAGCAAAGAGUCACACCGCAGGACUGCUG